rnacentral:rRNA from 1 species
UACGAAGGGGGCUAGCGUUGCUCGGAACCACUGGGCGUAAAGCGCACGUAGGCGGCUUUCUAAGUCAGGGGUGAAAUCCUGGAGCUCAACUCCAGAACUGCCUUUGAUACUGGAGAGCUUGAGUCCGGGAGAGGUGAGUGGAACUCCGAGUGUAGAGGUGAAAUUCGUAGAUAUUCGGAAGAACACCAGUGGCGAAGGCGGCUCACUGGCCCGGUACUGACGCUGAUGUGCGAAAGCGUGGGGAGCAAACAGG